AUAGAUAAUGAACCUGAUUCUUAGUUGGAGCCAUGAAGAUGAUAAGUGAUCAAUGCUGCAGCAGAUUGGUGCAAGAGAAGUGACAGGUCAAGAGCACAAUAGCAUACAAAUAUAGUCUAAUCUAAUAACUAGAUAUUAUAUAAAAAUACUGAAUGAUAAAUAUAACAAACAUUUUAAAAUUGAAACCUUUAAACAACAUCCACAUUACAAACAUAGAUCCAAAUAGUAGCAUUAAAACAAAAACUUCAUUCAUAACAUAUAUCCGAGAAUUACUUGCAUUGCAGAGCGCCUAUACAGCUUCUCUUCCUCUCUUGAUCUUGGCAACAACUGUUACCAUGACUGCAACGUAUAUCUUGUCCAUGAUUUUCUCAACAAACAUGAAAAGCCUCCAUCUCCACUGCUUCUUGAACAAGAGAACUCCAAUUACACCCCAAAACCCUGUUGCAAAUCCACUCAUGAUGUCCAGGUAAAACCACCAUACCUUGAUCGACUCCUCAGCUGCUUUAUGUUUCUUCUUGGGCUUUGCUGUUGUUGUUGGGUCUUGAUGAUCUGAGCAAUUGUUUGUCAAUGGAGGUCCACAAAGAUCUCUGUUCCCACCAUAUAUUGAUGGAUCAUCAAUAAGGGUCUGCAAUUGAUGGCCUGUUGGAAUUCUUCCCCACAAGUUGUUGUGUGACAAAUUCAAAUGACUCAAAAAAGUCAAAUCUGCCAUGCUUGGAGGGAUCAUCCCGGUUAACUCAUUGUUUGAGAAAUCUAGAGAAAAUAAUGCCGUCAAGUUUCCAAUGGUGUCUGGAAUAUUCCCACUGAGAUGAUUAUUAGACAAAUUGAGACCCACCAACAUAGAAAGUGCAGUUAUCUCUAUAGGUAUUUUUCCUACAAGUUUAUUGCUUGAAAGGUCCAUGUUAUAAACUAUAUCCAAAAUUCUUGUAUAUUCAAGAUCAACACCUUUCAUAACCUGAAUCACAUUCUCAUUAGAAUCACCCCAGCCAUAAUUGUAAUACCACUUUUCUGCACCAUUAACCAUUGCUUUCAACUCUCUUAGGCAAUGAGGGAUGAUACCCGUUAAGUUGUUGUAUGCAACAUCCAAAAUUUGAAGAUUUGACAUUUUGCAUAAAGAUUCAGGAAUUUCCCCGGUAAAGUUAUUCUUGUGUAAUCUUAAAACAAUCAAACUUGUCAGGUUUUCUCCAAUCCAGUGGGGUAUCUUUCCAAACAAUUGAUUAUCACCCACAUCUAGGACUUUUAAAUCUCUUAAAUUCCCCAACUCUGGAGGAAGUUCACCAAUGAAGUUAUUGUCAUCCAAUUUUAACCAAUUCAAUGAUGAAAGAUUAAGACCUAUAUAGCUUGGAAUGACACCUGAAAGUAAAUUUGAGCUAAAGAUCAUGGCACCCAACCAUUCCAGAUUCUGGAGACACUUGGGAAUUGUCCCUGUUAACCUAUUUCUGGAAAGAUCAAGUAAUUCCAAAUCUGUCCAUCUGCACAAGGACUUCGGAAUUGACUCAUUGAAAAUGUUAUUUGCUAGUAUCAAUACCCAUCGUAUUUCUGGAAGGUUUGUCAAUGGUCCGCUGAGUUUGUUGUGAGAGAGAUCUAAGAAAUCAAUGACAGGCAUCUUCCGCAACCAUCUGGGCAGAGGUCCCGAAAUUGAAGCAUUCGACAACACUAACUCAGAGAGCAAGAACUGAUUCCGUAGCCACUGUGGCAAUCCAUUUGUGAGAUUGCAGGAACUGAGAUCAAGAUGAUACAACUGGAAUGGAGGCAUCCACUUAUGUGAAAAAUUGCAUGUCAGCUUAGAAUUAGAUGAAGCAUUCAAGUACCUCAACAUGGAAAGGUUAGCAAAAUGGGCUUCGGAAACUACUCCUUGUAAGGAAUUGUCUGAGAUAUCUAACUCAUUGAGUUUGGCAAGUUGCCCAAUUGAAACCGGAAUAGUCCCAUUUAACAAAUUUGAAGACAACCGAAUUGCUUGUAAUGAAACAACUCUUCCUAGAGAUGUUGGGAUGGGGCCCGUUAAGUGAUUGGAUUGUAGAUACAAAGAUUCUAAAGCUGCAAGAUUUCCAAAGGAUUCUGGAAUUGAACCAUUCAAUUGGUUAUCAUGUAGAUCUAAUACCUCUAAGAAUCUUAAUCUUCCUAGAGAUUCGGGGAUUGGACCUGUCAAACUGCUCAUUGAUAGAUCUAAGUGUCUUAAAUUGGUUAGUCUUCCAAAUGCUUCUGGAAUCGUACCAUUCAAACACCCACUUAAAUCCAACCGCUCCAAAGCAUAUUGGGAGCAUUCUGAAACGUUUUGCGGUGGGUCAAUCCUUUCUAUUUCAAAAGGAUUUCCAUAUGCAGCCAAUGUUUUCAGGUGACACUGUCUCCAGAUUCCAACAUCCUCAAUAUUCUUAAACUGGUUAACAGAAAGAUCAAGCUCUAGAAGGUUAGCCAUAAUAGGAACCGAAGAAUGCAGCAUGUUUCUUGAGAGAUCAAGGACUCUUAAGGAACUCAUGUUACUGAAAACAGAUGGAAAUAUGCCUUCAAUUGAAUUCCAGCUAAGAUCCAGGUGUUGGAUGUUAGAAAGCAUACAAAGUGACAAAUGCAGCUCUGAUAAAGAAGGGAUCAUGUUUAGCACGUUUGCAAAGUUCCAUGCCAAACUAAGAUUAAAUUUAGAAAGAUCGAGGAAUGCUAGGGAUGUCAUGUUUCGGAAAAAUCCAGGGAGUGGGCCUUUGAAAGAAUUGAAGCCAAGAUCAAGGUGUUUGAUGUUGGGAAGUAUUCUACUCGAAUUAAGAAAAGGACCAAGAUGGGCAUUGGAAAGUCCACAACCAUGCAAACUUAACUCUUUUAACGAAGGAAGAUUGUAAAGCACCAUGCCCAUGUUCUUUGCUCCGCCAAGAUCCACCCAACUCAAGUCGAGAUGCUCGAGUGAUGAAAGGCCAAAAGUCCAUGACAUAUCAUCAUUCCAACUGAGAUCCAAAACCUUUAAAUUAGAAAGAUUUCCAACGUGAGGAGGAAUAAUACCUUGAAAACCAGCAUAAGAGAGAUUGAGAUAUCUCAGCUCUUUGAAGGAACCAAUGAACUCAGGGAACCGGCUUCCUCUAAUAUAAUUCCAACUCAAGUCCAGGUACUUGAGAUGCCUCAACUCAGCCAAAGAAGAGUUCACCUCAUUACCAACUAAGUAGCCUUCUCCUUCACUGUCAGAAGGGUCUCCUCCGAGAUUGAGGCUGUCAACGGUUCCAGUGAGACUGUCACAGUGGAUUCUUUCCCACUGGCAACAAUCCUUACCCACCCAUGAAGACAUCAUUCCAGAAGUAUCUUCAACACUCCCUUUGAACCUGAGAAGAGCAAGUCGUUCUUUCUGGGAGCAAACAACAGUGACAUUUCCAACACCCAAACAAGUAUAUUUCGUUGCAAACAAAAAAACACAUAUGAAAAUGAGAUUGAGCCCCAAACCCCACGGAUUCCCCAUUUAUCAACCCUCCCUAACUCAGUUUAAUUUAGAAGAAAGUUGAAGUGGAAAGAUAGUUUGUUAUGAUGAAGUGAUAGAUUAUUAUGAAGAAGAAACCAGUUCAUUUAUAAUGCCACAAAUGAAGAACAACUUAAUGCCAUGGAAGACUUCAAGUCAAUGGACAUUUGUCUCCACAAGUUGUGUUUUUGUGGUCCAAGUCUGUUCCCCAUGUCAGAUGCAAUUGCAUAUGGAAACAAUUCUUUAAAAAAUUAUAAAUAAAAUGAAGCACAAUAAUUGACAAACAAGCAUUUAGAUUUUUAAGAAAUCCAAGAUAAAUUAUAACCUUUUGUAAAUAGUAGGUGUAAAUCAAUAUAAACUUAAUUUUGAUGUUCAAUCAUUUUACAAAACUAACUACAAGAAAAUAAGUUUUUUUGUUAUUAUUUGACUUGACAAGGCUGGUGUGACAAGCCUAGCUAAUUAAAAGAUACUUUCUUCUGUAACUCUAAAUUAAAGAUAUUAUAUUAUCUUUUAUAAAAAAAAUGUAGCCUUCUCAAAUGCAUUACGGUUUUAUUAGACAACCCAUUCACUUGAAAAUAGAUAUUUGUUUUAUUAAUAAUAAAAAAACCUAUUUUCAUAAUAAUAAAAAUAGUAUAUAAAGAGAUGUUGCGGAGAAUAAAAAGGAAGUGGUGGGGGUUGGUGGAUUUGUGGGACCCAAUGUUUUAAUAAUAACAAAAAUAAGGUAUAAAAAAGUAAUUAAAAAAUAAAAAAUCUAGGAAGGGCAAAAUAGUCUUUUAGGUCAGUUAGGGACGAAAACUGUAACAAAACAAUAUCACAUGGACGAUUUGUUUAAUUUACUCUAGGUUUUUGCUUUUAAAUUUGAUACCAAUAUUGCUACAAAUGAUUAUGGCUUUUAGCGAAUUGGUGUUAUUGAAUUGGAACACUUUUGAUUAGAGUCUAAUGUCCCAUGGCACACAUAAAUGCAUUUGGCCAAAAGUCUUCCACACAAAGACUUUGAAGUCAACAAAGUAACACUCACACACAAAAAAGGGGGCCAUGAUUGAUGCAACUUUCUUGUGGAAUUUUUCCAUGCAACUUCUCCCCAUCAAAUGUAUUCCUCUUUGCUAUUAUUCCAUGAAAAUUUACAAAGUUCAGGAAAAACGUCUUAUCCACUUUAACUAGAAAGAAUUUGCAAACAAAACUGACCCAUGACAUGGAAUGGAGGAUAAUAACCGAGAUCAUGAAGAGACAUGUUGUUCCAGGUAGAUGCACUAAAAAUGACCUAAAGAAACAAAAUAUAAAGAAGCAAAAUAGCCAGGUUAGUCAUGAAACCAUACAUAAAAAAAUUUAAUACAUAAGAGCUUUUUAAUGUUUCCUGUUAAACCAACAUGAAUAUAGAAGAGCUUUUUAUUUUAUUUUAUUUUCGUUUUCUGUGGAUCAAAAUAAGUGGGUUUUGGCAAAGUUUAUUCCGAAUGGCAGAAGCAAAUGUAUUUGACAACAAAUCUAUAAAAUAAAUGAAUUGAAUAUUUGGUAAGAUUACUAUUCAAUUAGAAGUCACUACACAAGACUUGGAAGUCUAUAGACAGUUUUAGCCACAAACUGGUAUGCUCUGGAUCUGGACUGUAUAUUUUUUUUCUAUGCCCCAAGGAACACACAAAUGUAUUUGGCCACAAGUAUUUUUCACAAAAGAAAUUUCAGUCAACAAAGUAAACCCCCCAAAUAAAUAACAUGGACAAAAGAAAAUAGUGACAUGAUUGAUGCACCAAGAAUCUUUUCUUAUGGAAUUUUCCAUACAACUUCUCCCUAACAAAUAUAUUCCACUUUUAUUGUUAUUCCAUGGAAAACAAAACUAGUAUCAGGAAUUCAGGAAUGAAUAAUCAGUCUAACAAACAGUGGCAUGAAGUAACUAUAUUCAGCUCAACUUAAUUUAAUAUUAUCAAUUCUUACGACAAGUUCAAAUGUUGUUAUGUUGAAGAAACCACUUCAUUUAUAAUGCCAUCAAUGAAGAACAACUAAUUUCCAUGCCAUGGAAGACUUGAAGUCAACGGACAUUUGUAUGCACAAGUUGACUUUUUGUGGUCCCCAUGGUAGACAGCUAGACACAAUUGUAUAUGGCAACAAUUCUUUUAAAAAAUAUAAAAUAAAUGACAAACAAGCAUUUAGAUUUUCAAGAAGUAUAGGAUAAUUUAUAAUAUUUUGUAAAUACUAGUUAUAAAUUAUAAACUUGAUUUUGAUGUUCAAUCAUUUUACAAAACUAACUUCAAGAAAAUAAGUUUUUUUGUUAUUAUUUGACUCGACAAGGUUGAUGUGUCAAGCUUAAUUAAAAGAUACAUUAUGUAACUCCACAUUAAAGAUAUUAUAUAUUUUUUUAUAAAAGAUGUAUUUUCUCAAAUGCAUUACGAUUUCAUUAGACAUAACAAUUUCAACCCAAUUAAUUGAAAAAUAGGUAUUUGUUAUAUUAAUAAUAAAAAUACCUAUUUUCAUAAUAAUAUAAAUAGAUAUAUAAAGAGAUGUUGAGGAGAUAAAAACGGGGUGGGGUGGGGGUUGAGGAAUUUAUGGGACCCAAUGUUUUAAUAAUAAAAAAAUAAAGUACAAAAAAUAAUUAAAGAUAUAAAAAAUCUAGUAAGGGAAAAAAUGUAUUUUUAGGUCUGUUAGGGAUAAAAAUCAUAACAAAACAAUACCAAAUGCAUGGUCCGAAUUGAGAAAUAAUAAUAUUAAAUAAGGGACCAAGCAUACAUAUUACCUUAAACCACAGGGACCAUUCAUGCAAUUUACUCUAGUUUUUUUCUUUUAAAUUUGAUACCAAUGUUUUUACAAUUGUUUUUGGCUUUUAACAAAUUGAUGGUAGUGAAUUGGAACACCAUUGAGGAAUUGUCUAUGGCCCAUGGCAUACGUCAAUGCAUUUGGCAAAAAAAGUCUUCCAAACAACAAAGCAAACCCACUAAUCACACACACACACACAAAAAAAAAGAAAAAAAAAAAGGACAUGAUUGAUGCACUAAGUAAGCAUCUUUCUUGUGGAAUUUUCCAUGAAACUUCUCCCUAUCAAAUGUAUUCAUCUUUAAUAUAAUUAUAAGUAUCUUUUAAAUCUAAAAUAAAUUACAAUCAUAUUUUAACCUAAAAUAUCUUUAAUAUAACUACUUUUAAAGAUUAAUGAAAUUAUAUACCAAUAGUUUUUAAGUAAAUACACGAAUGGUCUCUAUGAUUUCAGGUAAUUAGCGUGUAUUGUCCUUUAACCGUUUUUUUAAACUUGGAUGGUCCCUAUGGUUUGGUUUUGUUUCGGGUUUGGUACCCAACAAACUUAAUAUGACUAUCUUGCGCUUAAUAAUAUUUUUCUAUAAUUUUUUAGUUCAUUUUUUAUUAUUAUGUUAUUAUUAAAUAGAGUAAAUUAUUAAUGUCUAAAAUGAUACUUCACCAAACACCAGAUGCUGCCCUUGAAACCACCUCCCCCACCAUUGCAAAAGAUUGAAGGAUCCAGCCUCACACCAUUUUCCCCUCUGUUACAGACAAAAAACAACAUCAUCAUCCAUUCCUGAUGAAAAUCAAAUUCAUACCAAGUUCACUCGAUCAGAUAUAUAAUCUCAACUCUCGUAAAAAUGUUAAAAAAAAGAAACGAAAGAAGAAAUGCACAUAAACCAUCAGUGCAGAAGUUAACUGGAAGCACAAGUUUGGGGACACUAGAAACCAUAUCAUGUACAUCAUGAUCUUGCGCAUGUGUAAGCUUUGACAGCAUGCAGUGCCUACUGAAAAAGGUUUAUUUACUAAUACGAUAAUUAUGGUAUCAUGUACAAAACCUAAUCUGAUUAUAUUGGGAGCAAUUACGUGUACACACAUACAUAUAUAAUAUUUGGCCUGGUAAAACUGUACACACAUAAAUAAAUAAAAAUUCAUUUGUAGGAACUGCUUUCAUAGCAUAUGAAGAAGAACCGGUUCCUAAUAUAGCAGCAAUAUGAAAACAUGUUUUUUUUUUUCAAUUUUCUCACAGUAAAACAAAAGCAAGAGAAAAUAGAGGCUUUUCACGAGCACAGGUCAACAUAGGACUAUAGUCUAUAGGUGAUUCGUUGAUACAAUAAAAAAAUACAAACACUUUUAAGUAUCAAAGGAUCUACUGAGAAGCAGAGGUUUAAUUGAGCUUGAAGCAUUUCCUCCCUUAAACAGGUAAUUACAGAUUACGUGGUGACAUUAUAUCUACCAUUAGGAGCUGCAAGUGUGUUGCAAAACAGAGGCUAUCACCAUCUGCUUAUAUGCAUCAUUACCUUCUCUGUGUUACAGGUCCCAAUUUGUGAGACAAUUAGGUCAGACAGAAUCAUAAAAUCGUAGAUGGAUCAUUUUCCCAGUAUACACCAAUGAAAUUGGAUUAGCAUAUAUGCAUCGUUUUCAACAGCCCUUAAUUACUAUCUUUUUUAUCUUACAGGUCCCAAUUUGUGUGCUUUGUAGCAUUUUCUCAUUUUUCUUAAAAAACAAAUACAGCAAAGUUCAUAAAGUAUAGAAAAUUAGGCCUAAGAAAAAUAGAAAAUCGGAAAACAUACCAAGUGAACACCAUAUGAAUCGGCAGUUUAGGCUUCGCCUUUCCCCGUUCUCGUCUACUUCCCAGUGACGAUAGUUUUGAGAGGACCGGAAAUUUGGGGGAAAGUUUGUUACGAGUAAAUUACAAAUUUGGUCCCUUAGGUUUUGUUUUGUUACAGAUAUAAUCUAUUUAGUAAAAUCUAGGAUAAAUUACGAAUUUUGUACUUUUUGUAUUAUGUCAAAACCUAUGAUUUUUAUCUUUAUUUCUUCGAUCAGACUAUUCAUGUGUAAUGUCCUCAAAAAUAGGUCAAGCAAAUAGAAGCGAGUUAAAGUGUUUAAAGGAAGAAGAAGUGAUGUUGUGUUACUAUGAAAAAAAAAAUGAUGUCUUUAUAAAUACUAGUUGUGGGACCCAUGUAUUAUAUGGGUUGAUUUUUAUUUUUUUUUAAAAUAAAUAUAAAAAUCAAAAUAUUUGAGAACUUUGAAUUUAUAAGAAAAAUAAUGAAUUAUUAUAAUUGAAAUAUUUUUUAUCUUUUAAAUUUAAACAAGUAAUUUAAAUAAAUAAACAAAAGAAGUUAAUAAAGCUUUAAUCUUGGAAUUUUGAAAUUAAAAGGUAAGUUUUAUUAAUGAAAAUUUUCCACAAAAAAGAGGCCAUGAUUGAUGCACUAAAUAAGCAUCUUUCUUGUGGAAUUUUUCCAUGCAACUUCUCCCUAUCAAAUGUAUUCCUCUUUGCUAUUAUUCCAUGAAAAAUUACAAAAGUUGAGGAAAAACGUCUUAUCCUUUGAAGUUUGAAUUAGACAGAAUUUGGCAACAAAACUGAUCCGUGACAUGGAAUGGAGGAUAAUACCCAGGAAGAUGCACUAAAAAUGACCUAAAGAAACAAAAUAUAAAGAAGCAAAAUAGCCAGGAUAAUCAUGAAACCAUACAUAAAAAAAUAUAACACAUAAUUAAUACAUAAGAAAUUUUUAAUGUUUCCUAGGUUAAACCAACAUAAAUAUAAUAAGGGAUUAGUGCAAAAACCAACGCACUUUUAUUUAUUUAUAUAUUAAAGCAUCAUAACCCAUAAGAUAAUGAAUAUAGAAGAGCUUUUUAUUUUAUUUUUUUCAUUUUCUGUGGAUCAAAAUAAGUUUGUUUAUGGCCAAAGUCUAUUCCCCAAGGCAGAAGCAAGUGUAUUUGACAAGAAAUCUAUAAAAAAAAUGAAUUGAAUAUUUGGUAAGAUUACUAUUCAGUUAGAAGUCACUACACAAGACUUGGAAGUCUAUGGACAGUUUGUUUGUAGCCACAAACUGUAUAAAAAAAAAUGAAUUGUAUAUUUUUCACAAAAGAAAUUUGAGUCAACAAAAUAAACCUCCAAAUAACACGGACACAGAAAAAUAAUGCCAUGAUUGAUGCACCAAAAAUCUUCCUUAUGGAAUUUUCCAUGCAACUUCUCCCUAAAAAAUAUAUUCCUUUUUUAUUGUUAUUCCAUGGAAAACAAAACUAGUAUCAGGAAUUCAGGAAUGAAUAAUCAGUCUAACAAACAGUGGCAUGAAGUAACUAUAUUCAGGUUAACUUAAUUUAAUUAAUAUUAUCAAUUCUUAUAUAUGAUAAGUUCAAAUGUUAAUUAACAUAUUCCAUAACUGAUAUUUUGUAAUUUUUACAUAUGUACUAUCAUAGAAACAUCACAGAUUUAAUCUAAUGAAUGAGAAAGAGUGUAAAACAAAAAACAAUGUCUUUAUCAAUGCCAUAAAUCAUGAAGAUUUUAUUUUCAUUUCCUAAAAUAUCACUUCUCAAACAACUUCUGCUUAACCCUCAACUUUCAUUUUACCCUCAGUUGGUCCUCUAAGUUGCACUUCUUCAUGAAAUUAAAUACAGUAUGAUUUUGAGGGACAAUUCCAACCCAUUUAUAGGUAAAUGGACAGUCAUUAAAUGUUUAUUAAAAUUUAAAAGAUUAAUAUUUUACUUUUUUUAGAUUAAUUUAUAACAGCUUUCCUGAAAUUUUUACUUUUUACUAACUAAAAUAGGAUAUCCAUAUAUAAAGAUUUCCCUUUAUAAAACCCAUUAUUCAACCGAUGAAAAAAAAAACAAAAUACAAACAUUGAUUUUUCCUUCUAUUAAGUCGAUGAAAUAACAAUUCAACGGAAAAAACAAUAUCGCAAAUAUGCUUUAAGAUAAAUUUUCAUGAUUAUCAAUAAUAUCAAUUUAAAAGAAGCUUUGAAAUGGUGAAUCAAUAUUUGUUCAACUAAUUGUUAGAUACAUAUAAAAAAAAUUGAACUGGGCAUGUAACCUUUACACAUUAUUUGGUGCUCUCUCUUUAUUAGAACUAAUGCUGAUUUUUAUUAAAUGACAAUGUUGUUAUUUACCAAAUUUCAUUUCAUUUAAACGUCCAUAAAUACGAACUAAAAAACAUGUUGGAAUAGUUCAUUUCGAUCCUAUAGACCAAAGAAACAUGAUAGUGAAAUGAUAAUUAUCUAUCUUAUUGCCAUGUUCUUUAGAUUUCUAUGUUCAUUCAAUUAUUUGUGAUUCCACCCACGCCUAAUGCCCCAUAGAUCGUUUGAAUUGUAUAUGAACAACAAUCAAGUUUAGCUCAAAUGGUAAAAAGCACCUACCUGAGUUCCCUUUGUUGAAAAAUAGGAGAUAAAAAAUACCAACGAAAAACUAUAAGUUUUCAUUCAAUGACUUUAAAGUCAACAAAAAACUAUAAACUUGAUUUUGACAUAUAAAAGUUUUACAAAACUAACUUGAAGUUUUUGAUUAUUCAACUUUAACAGAUUAUGAGGAGACAUAAUCUCAUGUGGUAGAAGCAACUACUUUUUAAUAGGUUAUCAGUCUCACAAUAUAAGAAAUAUUGACUUGCAUAUGAUGGAUCUUGCUACUGCCUAUUUGUAGUUUUGUACUCCUCCCAUGAUACCAAUCUUUUAUAUAAACUUUUACCUCCCUCAAAAGAUUUAAACCACCAUAAACAAGUAAGAUGGGAUCUCAAGAACACUAUUUGAUCAAAUUAAACAAGUCAUUACAUAUUUUGUUGCUAAUCAUACAAGACUUGACUUUGGUUAAGACCCCUUUCAACCUUUUAAAGAUUCCAAGGAAAUUGGUGGUCCAAAGCACAUUUAAGUGUCAUUUAAACAAGUCAUUAAUAUAUCUUGCUAAUAAUAAGAUGAAUUAUUAAAAUCAUACAUAUACAUGUUAUCCUUUAGAAGAAUGAUAUAAUAGUUAAGUAUGUGAUCUUGGCAUCUUGCUAACAUAUAUCAUCAUUAAGUAAAUUAAAAAUUAAUAAAUAGAAAUUACAAUCUCAAUAUAUAUAUCAUCUAUCAUUUUCUUGAAAUUUUACCCAAUUCUAAAGGGAUUCCCGGGAUUUUGUUUCUGUUGCUGUUUUGUUGUGUAAUUGUUUAAAUCUUUGUUUUCUUCUAUUUUUUAAAAAACAUUACUGUAAUGAUUAUGAAACUUCAAGUGUUCCCAUAUCUUUGCUUUAGAAAUGUGUUCUUCAACUACAACAUCUCUUCAAAGUUAUAACCAGAUUUGACAGUUACCCAUGUUCUUUAUCUGAAAAGUAUUACAUCUGACUCGGAAUAAAUAAUUCUAUGUGGAAGAAGGUAUGUAAGACAAUGACUUUUGUAACUAUUAAUCUAUUAACUUAAAUACUUACACUUUGGUAUUUGGUAAUUUAUUUAAUUACUUAUUUAUGUUUUAUGAAUAUAUGUAAUUGAAGUAGAAAGUAAUUGUGGUCAACAAGAUUUUCUUCUAUGGUUACAGCACCAGUUAUUUUCAUGUUUAUUGUAGCAUUUGAGCAUCUAUUCGUUUAUCUCCAAAAAUCAAAUAAAUUCAUAUCAAUUUUACACUUGAUCGUUUGGUAUUCAAAAUCAAAGAAGAAGAACCAACUCUAUACCUAUGAUAUCAUCUGGCUAGAACAUGUCAAAAUAGAACCUAAUGUGAUAAUAUUGGAAGUAAGUACACACAUACAUGCUGGGUUUCCUCAUAACUAUUCCCCCAUCCUUGGAUAAACCAAAUAAAAUUAUACAUAAAUAAAUUGAUACAUCAUUUGUAAGAACUUUCAUGGAAUAUGAAGAAGAACCAAUUCUAUAAUUAUGCAGCAUUGCAAGAAAUGUUUUUUUUUUUCCAAUGCUGCAGCAACUAAUACUCUAGGGUUGAUGUGUACUGAUCAAAAUAAGUGAUUGGUUGGUUGAUAUAAUAUGAUACAAGCACUUGCGUAAGCACCAAAGGAUCUACUAAGAAGCAGGGGAGAUAAUUUAGUAUAAAGCAUUUGCUACAGAUUAUAUUUAGCAUUGGGAGCUGCAAGUGUGUUGCAGAACAAGGCCAUCAGGAUCAUUUGAAACAUAUAAAUAUAUAAAUGCAUCAUUUUUAAUGAUGCUAAAUUUCAAUCUUCUCUGUGUUAUGGGUCCCAACAUGUGAAAAUUAGGUCAAAUAGAAAAAAGAAGGAAAAAAAAACUUACGAGGUUAAUAUUGUCGACAACGACUGAGGAAUGAAGGAGAGGGAUGAAUCAACAAUUGAUGGCUUUGGAUUUUCCUUGUCCUCGCCUCUUCGCUGGUAGUGACGGAGGAUAGGGUAUGAGAACGCGAUCGUCGACGGAGGAAUAAACAAAAGGAGAUUUUGGGGGAAAUUGUGUGUGGGCCACGAGUCUUCUUGCUGUAAAAAAUAAAUUUUGGCUCAUUUGAAUUUUGCGUAUUUUGUGGUAAUAUUAAAUUUUAUUCGUUCAUCAUUUUUUAUGGUUUUUUAUAGACAAAACUGCACAAAUGGUCCCUGUGGUUUGUCAAAAAUUGUCACUUUGGUCCAAAAAAGUUUGGGCUAGCACCAGAGGUCCAAAGUUUUCAUUUUGUUGCUUGUUUGGUCCAAUCUAUUAUGAUUUUUUUCAAAAUGACGGAUUUGCCCCUGUUAAUAUGAUUUUUUUUCUUUGUUUCUUAAUUGUUUUUUUGAUUUUCAGAUUCAAAAAAAAUAAAAAUAAAAUUAAAUCUCUCUCUCCUCUCUUUCUCUCUAUUUCUUUCUCUCUCCUCUCUCCUCUAUCUCUUUCUUCAAUCUUCCUUCUCGUCACUCCUUUUUUCUUCGACUCCCAAAUACCAACUGUACCACCAAUUCCAAUAUCAGUCACAAACCGACGGCCGAACACCAUGGCUCCGUUCAACCCUGCAGUCUGGAAAUCAGACUGUUACUGUGCCCCGGCACAUGAUUCUCCGGCUAGGUGUUGCUGUGAUUCGGCACCGGCCCUACAACUUGAACGGAUCUUCACCUACUAUGUUGGGUACUAGGUUUACCAACUAUCUACAACUAACUGUAUACUCUGGCUAUGUACUGUUGUAGAAGAUUGAGUUGAUUUAGAGAGCCAAUUAAUGGAGGAAUUGGACCGGAGACUAAGCUAGACAUAAGGUCGAGCACCUGGAGUGCACCCGUCUUCUUCCUCAUGAACAUCAUCAUCUUCUUCCUCUCUUCAUAUUCCAACCAAUACCACCACCCAUCUCUGCCUCCGUCGAUAGUUGGGUGCUUUAGAACCCAAGAUUUGAGAUAAUUUGACACAAUGUUGUUGAGCCCUUGCUACUUGAAGUCGAUCAGAUCUAUCACCUUUCUUACUCUGCUUCCCUGUUAAUUACAAACACAAUCCAGUCAAUACAUUUAGAUUAGAGCACGCUUCUUGCUAAUAAGCACCAGUGAGGAGAUAAGUUGAAGAACGAGGGAGAUGGCGGUGAAGAUUGAUGUCGCUGCUAAAAUGAUAUUGGCGUUGAAGGUGGGUUUCAAUGAGAAAAGGGGUGGCAGAGCAGGAGGACCACGAUGGAGACGAUGGUGGUGGGAGCUAAGAGUUUUUUCUAGGUUUUUUCUUUGUAUGGUUUUCCCUAUUUGUUCUAAAUGAAGAUUCAGUAUUAAUUUAUGGUAAAAUUGAUUUUGAUUUUAUAAAAUCAAGAGAGAGAGAGAGAGAGAAAGAGAUAGAUGAGAGAGAGGGAGAGAGAGAGAGAAAGAGAUAGAUGAGAGAGAGAGGGAGAGAGAGAGAGAGAAAGAGAAAGAAAAGAGAGAGAGAGAGAGAGAGAGAGAUUUAAUUUUAUUUUUUUUUUAAUCUGAAAAUCAGAAAAACAAUUAAGAAAAAACCAAAAAAUCAUAUCGACAAGGGCAAAUCCGUCAUUUUGAAAAAAAAUCAUAAUAGAUUGGACCAAACAAGCAAUGAAAUGAAAACUUUUGACCUCUGGUGCUAGCCCAAACUUUUUUGGACCAAAGUGGCAAUUUUUGACAAACCACAAGGACCAUUUGUGCAGUUUUGUCUUUUUUAUAUUUUAUUAAAUUUCAUAGGAUAAUAAAUAGAUAUUAAUUUUAAUAAUUCACUUUCUAAAUUUAAAAUUUCUAAUUGGAGAAUUCAAUCAUAUUUUAAUGUCAUUAAAUUAGGAACAAAAUUAACGGAUGUUUUUGGUAAAUAUAAUUUCUAUAUCUUCCUCGUUAUAUUUGAUGCGACAUUAACCUCUGACGAUUCUUUUGGUCUUCUGCUGCUGCGGAGAUCUGCUAGUCACAAUCAGAGAGAUGCGUUAGAGUCGUCCCAGGGACUGUGCCUCGGGUGCGGACACCGAUGAUCAAGUUAGAUCAGCUGAUAGAUCUGAGAUGGUCCUAAAUAGCUGGAGAGAACCAUCUUGGUGCUGGUGGUGGUGUAUGGUGGCUGAUGGCGGCGGAUGGCGGUUGAGCCACCCGGCAUGUGUAUAGUGUGGCGGCUAAGCUAAGGGGAAGAUCCCCCUCCAUGGAGGAGGUACUGUUCAUUAUAUAGGGGACAAUUAGGUCAAGGGGAAUUAGGUCAGGCCUUGGGCCCGCCUAAUUCAGGCCCAACUAGCAAGGAGUUGGGCAAGGCCGCUCGGAGGCACCGGGCGGCGCUGGUGAGCGCGCACCAGGAAAGAUUGGCAAGGGGCACUAGGCAAAGGAGCAUCGGGCCGGGCCGGCAGGAGAGUCCCCAGCAUGGCUGGCAAGGGAGCACCAGGAAAGGCUGGCAAGGGGACACUAGGCAAGGCUGGCGGGAGCGCGCCAGGCCAAGCUGGCGCUUUAGAGUGGUCUAGGCCAUGCUAAUGUACCAUAUAUCAUCAAGUCCCCCCAGUCUGGUGUUAUUGGUACGCGGCCAAUGACAUCGGACUAGAACUAGUCAUAUAAACUAGCAGGAGAGUCCCCAGCGAGGCUGGCAAGGGAACGCCAGGCAUGGCUGGCAGGAGCGCGCCAGGCCAGGCCGGCGCAUAGAGCAGUCUGGGCCAUGGUAGUGGACCAUAUAUCAUCAAGUCCCCCCAGUCUGGUGUUAUUGGUACGCGGCCAAUGACAUCGGACUGGACUUAGUCAUAUAAACUGUGCGUCAUCAAGUCCCCCUAGUCUGAUGCGAUUGGGUUGCUGACAAUUGGAUCGGACUAGAUAAAGCACCAAUAUAUCAAAGAAUAGAGAGAACGUUCGAACCUUGCCCACGAGAGUCGUGGUGUUGCGUGAUGAGCCAAGCAUUACUUAUGUAGCCUUGACUAGAUACUCCUUCGUUGAGAGGAGUGCGAGGUUGCUAAAGAGUGUUACGCGACACUAAUGUCGAUAAAAUGUUUGGCCAGUGUAGCUAAGGAGUGUAAGCUCGCCAUACAGUCUCUAAGACCGUUAUUCGACACGAUUGUUGUGGUAUUCAUGCGCAUAUGGAGCUUAGCGUCCAACAAUCUAUGUGUCUGGCCCGGGUGAUCAGCUCGUGUUGAAGUGUAAUGGCGUCUAAUGCUUUGCUGUAUCACUAGUUUGGUGAUUGGUGCUUCGCUGUCUUGGCUAUCUGUCGAAGGCUAUGUAACGAUGCUACUUAGAGUUGUAUAAUGUAGUUGUUAUCGAGUGGUGCACAGCGAGACUGCCGUCGAGAGCUGGUCAACAUGGCCGCUGAGAGCUGAGCAUCGAGCUGCUAGCGAUACAUGAGCAACAUGACCACUGAGAGUUGGGCAACGAGUCUCCCGAGGAUUGAACCACGAGGCUGCUCUUAUGAUCUGGAAUAUGGGUGUCACCCUGGGGGUGCACUGUCAUGGACAACAUCAGCUCUUCCUGUACACUAACUUUACCCAUUCGGAGUAAAAAUUACUUCUGCAUAGUAUCGCAGCAACCCUACCCCCCCCUUUUUUUAAAGGAGACGAGGAAUAGAAACGAUGGAUGAAUAGUUGCAGGAAUUUGGGCAACACAGCUACUGAGAAAAGCUAAGCGACCCAAGUACCAACAAAAACUGGGCAGCGCAACUGGCAUGACUGCUGGGAGUCAGGCAAUGUAAUUGCUGAUGAUUGGGCUGCGCAACCGCUGGGAGUUGAGCAACGAGACUAGCAGGGGCCAAUCAACAUAAAUGGUGAGGGUUGAGUAGCAAGAUUGCUUGAAGUUGGUCAACACAGUUGUUGAUAGCCGCGCAACGCAGCUGCUGAUUGUUAUUUCGAAAUGAUUCACUAGUAGUAGUAGCGUAUUACUCUUCUCCCACCCCCCUCCCCUUUUUUUUUGGAAAAGUUGUCGAGAGUUUGAGUCGCAACGCAUUCUGAUGAGCGAAACUUGCGUUGCGCAUGUAACGCCCUGUUCUAAAAGUAUUCGUUCGUGGAUUUCAAAAACCAAAGCUAGGGGUGUUUUGGUCAUUUAUGGGAUUGGAGUUUAUUUUGAGAAGGUUUUGGGGCUGAGACAUGCUGCUAGAAGCGUAGGGCUUCUCGCCACCUUUCUGUGGAUAUAAAGUUCAUCAGAAACGGAUUUAGAAUGAAGAAGAUAUGACACUUUGAAGAUUUGGCAAUAAUGGCCCUUAAGGAGAAAAGUUCGCAUGUAAGGCCAUGCACGCAUGUUUGGAACACGCGUGGGUACGCCCAACGUAAGCUGGGUUACGCCCAGCAUACUGGGGCAACUUGGUCGCGGAUGUUCAAGGCGUACGCCCAACGUACAUGGAGGUACGCCCAGCGUAAGCUAAAAGUCAUGAAACCCUAAUUUUUGGGUUGAACAUUAUAUAAAGAACAUGUUGGCUUCAACCCUAACCCCAUUUCAGCCUCCCCAACCUCAGAAGAAACCCUAGAACAUCCCUACCCUCAUUUAGGUCAAGCACUACUUCUUUCGGAGUUUGGUGAGUUCUUGUGAAACAGCGAAGAAGGUUUGGGAUAUGAUGAAAGAACUCUAGUCGAGUGAUGCAGAUCUUGAGCAUUUAGGUCAAGCACUACUUCUUUCGGAGUUUGGUGCUUUUGCUCAAAAGCCAGAUGAGAAACUCUAUGUUGACUUCAACUUGACAUGCUCCUUUGGAUUGUUAUUUGGGUUUAGCUCUAACAAUGACUAUAUAGUUAGAAUAAUGGUUUUAUGUUUAUUGGGGUGAUAAAAGCAUUGCCAUUCGGAACCAUUCAUUUCAAAGGGAUUAUAUAUGAAUGGAUUUCUACAAGAACUUUCAUGUUUACACUAUGGUUUACUCUGCUUUGUUGCAUUUAUCAUUUUCACUGCACCAAUUGUUGUAGAAAUACAUAAAUAAUUAUGUAAAAACAAAAUCACACAUAUGUCCUUUUUUGUUUAUAUCGACACAAUCAUAAAACUUCAUUCAACAUAGAAAAUGUGACACUUAUGUAUAAAUAGUUUAUUCUUGUCUUAUAGUUAUUCACUUAAGGGAGGUUUUGGUUUGGUUGAAUUAGACUCCUAAGAGAUUUAACAAUGUGGUUGUGGCUCUUAUAAAGAAACAUUGUGUAAUCUAAACAACUUCAUGAUAUCCAAAAUGGUGGAAAUCAUAUUUUGUAAGCAUGGUAUAUCUUUCAUCAUCUUUAACCAUGUUCUUACUCAUAAAAUUGCUUUGUUUGAACUUUGACGGUUUUCGGAUUAUGUUUUACUAAUAGUCAAAUUUGAUAAAUAGUGGAACCUUAUUGAUUAAAUCAAUGAGAUUAACAUUAAAUAUUUGAUCAAUAGUGGAACCUUGUCAUAUAAUCAUCUGGUUAAUUGCUUGGUCUUCUAUGUUACAAAAUCAAAUUGAACAAGAUGAUGACAAGUUUCAAAAGAAACAAAGAAGCAUGGAUCGAAUAUAGGAUAAUAAUCUGCAUUUUACAAGCUAAAUGUACAACCUUUAAUAUAAGAAGUUCUCUAGCAAUUGUUUCAUCAUGGACUAUAUUUAAUGUACAUGAAAGGAAGAACAAUGUGUUGCUUUCUUCAAACACUACAUAAAUGAAUUCAAAACAACCUAAACUAUAUAUGAAGAUGAAAGUACUAUGGUGGCUUUUGUAACACAAGGCAAGAUUUCUAAGACUAUUUUCAAAGAGGGUCGGGGGUGGGGGGACUGAUAUCUUUUGCACAACCAAAGAACAAGAGCAAGUCACCAUCUCAUCUUUUUGGGCAGGACAAAAAAUUGCAAUUUGUCUCAUUGGCAUUAAUCCCGGUUUUAGCACACCAAAUAUUGGUACAUUUCUAUGUAAUAAAGGAGAUGUAGAAGAGAAGAAAAAUGAUACUAAAGAUGUAUAUGAGGAACUAAUCUUGGAAGAAAACUAUAGGAAACAAGUACUUAACUACUUUGAAAAAUAGAUCAAGAUAUGAAACAUAGAUCCAAAUAGUAGCAUUAAAACAAAAACUUCAUUGAUAACAUAUAUCCGAGAAUUACUUGCAUUCCAGAGGGCCUAUACAGCUUCUCUUCCUCUCUUGAUCUUGGCAACAACUGUUACCAUGACUGCAACGUAUAUCUUGUC
rnacentral:lncRNA from 1 species